UACGAGGGGGGCGAGCGUUGUCCGGAUUUAUUGGGCGUAAAGAGCUCGUAGGCGGUCUGUCGCGUCGGAUGUGAAAACCCAGGGCUCAACCCUGGGCCUGCAUUCGAUACGGGCAGACUAGAGUGUGGCAGGGGAGACUGGAAUUCCUGGUGUAGCGGUGAAAUGCGCAGAUAUCAGGAGGAACACCGGUGGCGAAGGCGGGUCUCUGGGCCAAUACUGACGCUGAGGAGCGAAAGCGUGGGGAGCGAACAGG
rnacentral:rRNA from 1 species